UUGGAUAAUCAUUGUAUUUAAUCACAUGUUGAUACAUACUUAUUAAUUUCCAUUAUGUAUACGUUAACUUAAAAGUUGUCUAAGCUAUUUGAUCUGGCUAGACACAAACUUAAAAAUAUUGUUGAACAUGAUAGAACUUUAUUAUUAUCCGACCAAAUUAUUUUGGUUCGAAUUCCUGACUAAGUAUGAACAUCCCGAAUAUGGGGAAAUUUUUAUGCGCCUAAGGGGGAUAGAAUGAACGAUAAUAUCGUUCUUGCAUAUAGUAUUGAUCAAUACAGGGCACAUUGGGCAGAUCACCCUCAUGCCUGUAAGUUAUGACGGUUUGCAGAUGAAGUUCUGCUAAACCUUAGCGAAAAUUAAAAACAAUGUUCAUAGUCUGUCGACUAAUAUCCAGUUAUAGUCAGUACGUAGUUUCAAAAAUUUGAUAUAGAAUAAAUAUAUUGUUAUUAUUGGUUCAACUUACUUCACAACUAUUGAUUCGUUGUAGAAGUGUCUUUCAAAGAAAACAUGUAAUCCUUUCAGCUAAUAUUUAUUGUUGCUAUUACUUACUGGGCACUCAAAUGCUCAUCCUUGCUUAAUUUAAAUGAUUCCAGCUAAGUGUGAACAACCAGAAGGUUCGGCGAAGAACAAGGGA
rnacentral:lncRNA from 1 species